AAUGGUAACAGAGGAACAAAGUACCUUGGGGAAUGUAGUAGUCCUUCUCUUCUGAGAACCAGGUACAUUCACCACAUGAUGUUAUGUGGAAUACCAAUAACCGAAAAUCACAAAACCAUGACAAAACCAUAACAUUUGUGGAUGAUAGGAUCCAGAGAGACCUAGACAGGCUUGAGCAGUGGACCAUGUAAACCUCAAGAUGUUAAAAAAAUCCAGAAGGAAGGUCUUACACCUAGAUUGUGGCAACCUCCGCUAUCAAUAGAAGCUGGGGGAUGAAAGGAUGGAGCACAGCCCUGCUAAAAAGGACCUGGUGGUACUGGUGGAUGGCAAGCUGGACAUAACCCAGGAAUGUGUACUCACAACCCAGAAAGCCAACAGGAUCCAGGGCUGCAUCAAGAGAAGAGUGGUCAGCACGUCAAGGGAGGUGAUCCUGCCCCUCUGCUUUGCGCUGGUGAGACCUCACCUGAGAUGUGGAGUCCUUAGUACAGGGGAGACGUGGACCUGUUGGAGCAUGUCCUGAGAAAGGCCACAAAAAUGAUCCAAGGGAUGGAACACCUCCCCUACAAGGACAGGCUGAGAAAGGUGGGGCUGUUUAGCUUGGAGAAGUGAGGGCUCUGGGGAGACCUAAGAGUGGCCUUUCGGUAUCUAAAAGGGGGCUGUAAGAAAAAAGGAGACAGACUCCUUAGUGAGGUUUAUUGUGAUAGGACAAGGGGAAACAAUCACAAACUAAAAGAGGGGAGAUUUAGACUGGAUAUAAGGAAAGAAUUUUUUAGUAAGGCUGGUGUGGCACUGGAACAGGUUGCCCAGAGAGGUGAUGGAUGCCUUGACCUUGAAGACAUUCAAGGUCAGGCUGAAAGGGGCUCUGAGCAACCUGAUCUAGCUGUGUCCAGGUGUCCCUGUUCAUUGCAGGGGAGUUGGACUAGAUAAAAUUUGAAGAUUGCUUCCAACUCAGACGAUUCUGUUAUUCUAUGAUUUUUCAAAUGUGUUUUGAAAAACACAUGUUGCAGUGACAGUCAAGUCCAUAAGCAAUGUUGAAAAUACUGUCUAACUUUAUUUUAUUCCAAUAUCUCGUUAAAUAAUAGCAGAAUUGUUCUAUAGCAGUACAGGCUCUUUCCAUUAUAGCAGUUGUCUCUGUAUAACGUUCUCUGUGUUGAAAAUGAGACAUUUCAUAGGCUGCGAGAAAUAAUGCAGCUUUCAAAAAGGGUCAGCUUUCAUUUCAUUUUAGAGCUACCGUAAAAGUGUAAAAUAAUCAAAACUAUUUCUGCCUGCUUCCAUACCUAAACACAGCCCAUUUCAGCUCCUUUAAUGCUUGCUUUUGAUGGCAGCACUUGAUUUUUUAGUAGAUUUUUAUGGACACAAGCCAAGUUCAAUCAGUUCUUGCGCAGAGAUUAUUUGCAGUCCUUCUGAAAUUAUAUGUUAAAAGAGCUGAUAGACUAAUAGAAGCUAGUUCAAAUUUAUUAAAAUGACUAAGAUGAUGGCUGUAUUUAGUUAAUUUUAGUGAUUUCCCAGAAAAUAUUUUGACUAAUUGCUUCUUUAUAAACAUAGUUCGUGUGCAGUGAAUCAAUAAGGAAUCAUAUGACUACAUCAUACUUCUGACUACAAAGUGUUGUGCUUUAAUGUUUUUCCUUCUCUAAAGGAUAGUCACAUCUGUAAGUUUUUGUUAUCACUGCUGGCAAGCCUGAAAUGCAAAGACCAGGAUAAGAAAAUCUUUUGAAUAGAAAAUAAGAACUAAAUCCACAUUAUACUGAAGGGAGCAACACCUGCUGACAGUGAGUUCUUUCAGCCAGAAGAAGACAAGAGAAGAACGUCGGCAGAGGAAGAAGGGCAGUGAGGUAACGUGGUCAGCCUGAUGAGACACAACUUUAAAACAGCAGCAAACUGAGCAAUGGCAGCGUCACCAGUCCAAUUUCUUAGUGAGUUAUCUAUCCAUUUUCCUGCUAGUCUGACACAAGCUAGUCUCCGCAUAUGAGAAAAAGUUAAGAGGGAAAAAAAGCCAGAAGGCAUGAACUGUGGUGGACAAGAUUAAAGAAAAAAAAAAGUGUAGGUCAUUAACUUCAUUGGAGCAAUAUCCAAUAACCAUUUCAGAGGAUUCAAAUACCCUGCAGCUAGUGUAUUUGGCUAAAUGAUAUUGGAAAUCACAAAAUGAGAUCAUUUCAGGAAAAGAAAAGAAUGCAAUAGUGAUUAAAGAUAAUUACUUUGUAAAUGUCUUUAAACACUGAAAAUACCAUCCCUGCCUAUUAAUUCUGCCUUUUUACUCACCUAGCCUUCUUUGUAGAAGUUUCAUGAAACUCUCGGUAUCUGAGGAGGAAAACAAGAAGACAAAAGUUUCUGUAAUUUGAGGAUCAGUGCUGUGGCCUCAAUGGAAAGGGCUUUCUGCAGAGUUUUCUUUAAGACACGGGUACUAUGGAAGAUGCAGAGAUGACAACUGCAAAGAUCACAGGCAAGACAGUAGUAAGACACUGAUGAAUUGGUAGGGUUAGGGUUAGACACUGAUGAAUUGGUAGUCUGUUUACUACCAUAAUUUUACUCUAAACAUAACAAUCACUGAAAUACAGAGUGAUUUCCCACACAGCGUGCUUGCAAAACAAAGUAUUACACACUGUUUGGAAUAUUAAAAGUCUUCAUUUCUUGUAUAAAUGUCAGAAAUCAGAUUGUCUUGGAAAUGUUUAAUUUAACACUACCACUUAAGAUGAUAACCUACAGUAGAGUGCAGCUUCCACCUCCAUCAGUAGGUAUUGUUACCACCUGAGAAUUGAUUCAGGACCUCUCUGCAAAGAAAUUAAUGGAUACUUAUAGAAAGUCAUAAACAGUCCUGGUAUUAAUUCUUUAACUGUCAUAGGCAUGUCUGUGUAGAAAUCCAGACAAAAGCAAUAUGAAGAAAUGAAAUGGAAAGUGAGAUAGAAAAUGAAUGGGACAAGAGAAAAAAAAGACUAUGAGAAACAACAAAAGAGACAUUUAACAUUUUCCUCACAGGCAAGAUGUGUAAAAAAAAUACAAAUGCAAUAUUCCUUAGGGCAUAAACUAAGAUGAUUAAGAACUUCAAGAAAGGGGAGACUAACAAUUAGGUCUUAGGUUCAUUGAUUACUUAGGCAGAAGUGUCUCCCCCGUAGAAUUUAUUAUUUUAUAAGGCCCUCAUAAAAACCCAAAGGAUGUCAAGUAAAGGUGGGUCUUGUGAGCUCAUCAGGUGAGGCUAUGAGUCUGAUUAACAUAAUGCCUUUCCUUUAAAUCAAUGGAAAAAUAAUGAUACUCUUUAAUACUGCUGAAAAUUGUUCGUGAUUGUUCAUCAGGAUUUUAAAGUGCAGAGAUGUAAUAUGCACAGUAAAGCUUGCCAUGUAUGUGCAUGCUUGUCUGAGUCCUAACUUCCUAUUUUUUUCAAGCAGGCAUGGAUCGGAAAGAAGGGUCACCUGUGUCUCUGCAAUUGUAAACUAUUCAUUUUCAGGGAGAUUUCUAAUUAAGAUUAGCAACACUUAACUGUUCUUAUUUGUUUCUAGAAGUACUGAAUAUUGAAUAUUGAAUUUGAGCUUAGAAACUUGAAUUAUGAAUUUAGAUGUUGGCCUAGGUUCUGGACAACUUUUACUCCUGCCAUGGCAAAGUUGGCCAAGAUAUUUCCUGGGAAAUUUCCUGGAUAAGGAAGCCCUGUUGAUAUACAGCUGGUAUAUCAUAGUUUGAUGUUUUUCUCUGAGAAUUCAGUCCCUCUGAAUAAAAAUAGUCACUGAAAGGGAGGCCCAAGUGGAACAGCUAAAGCCCACUUGGAAUUGAACCUGGCAAAGGACGUGAGAGGUAACAAGAAGGACUUAUGUGGAUGUAUCAGCAGCAAAAGGAAGACUAAGGAAAAUCCACAUUGCUGAAUGGGACAGAGUUACAAAAGGCACAGUGACAAAAGACAUGGUGACAAUAGACACAGAGAUGGCUGAGGUAGUCAACACCUCCUUUGCCUGUCUUUAUUGGUAAGAGCUCCCUUUAGGAAUUCCAGGUGCUGAGACCACUAGGAAAACCUGGAGGAAGGAAAAUUUACCUUUAUUGAAAGAGGACUGCUGGACACAUGCUCCCUAGGCUCUGGUAGAUGAACCUGUGAAUGCUGAAGUAGGAUGAAGAUGGAGCAAAUCCUCCUGGAGAAGAACAGGGUAUUAAACUACUGGAAUAUAUGCAGCAGUAAAUCAAGAAAAGAUACUUGUUCCAGCUUGCAACUGAUGAAGCAGUUUGUUCACAAAGCCUUCGAUGAUUUCCUGUACCUCAAGACAGUGUUCGCUCUGCUCAUCACCUGAAAACAGCUACAGGAAAUGUUCAUUGCUAGUUUUAGCCAACGAGAUCCACAGUAUUCCCCUCUCUCUUUUCUGUUACUAAAAAGGAGAAGUAUGAAAAAUCCAACUUACUUUAUCUGAACAUGGUAAUUCUAGGUUGUAGAUCAGAGGGAGUUUUACAGAGAUGAAGUGAAAACUAAAGGAAGAUGAAGUACUUGAGAAUUAUGCUAGUAAAUUAAAUCUACUGAGAAUAUUCCUGGAUCCUGCCACCAGCUGACACAGAAAAGCCUGCUCCGAUCGCUGUUAUCCUGGGAAAUAGAGUGGCUGCAUGAAAACUACCCAUUGGAAGCCUUCACUGGAAUUUUCUAACUCCAGUAACACACCCAGGAAGUCUUUGGAUGAGUUACAGAUGGCACAUAACAAAAUCUUGCAGAAAACCCCCUAAAAGCUUGCUAACACAGGCAGUUAAGUUCCACAACUCAGGAAAAGCACUACAUGUUGCAUAAAGAGCCAGUAGUGUGUCUCUAGUAUUAGAGCUGCAUGAAAUAUGUAUACAAGGGUUACUCCAAAAUUAAUGUAUCCUAUUUUAUUAUGUUGGCCCAUGAAAUGAGAUGGUUGUUGGUGAUAUGGCAUUAGAGGUUGAAUGUUCCUGCCAGUAUUCCAUUACAUUUUGUUGCUGGGUGACAUAUGGCAGCAGAAGGACAGUCUGACAAAAUGGCAUCUGACAUGGAAUUCCGUAUGAAGCAAAAGUGUGUCACUGAAUUCUUCCAUGUAGGAAAAAUUGCACCCUCAGCAAGUUUGCAGAUGACACCAAGCUGUGUGGUGCAGUCGACAUGCCUGAGCAAUGGGAUGCUAUACAGGGACACCUAGACAGGCUCGAGCAAUGAGCCAAGGGGAGCCACAUGAGGUUCAACAAAGCCAAGUGCAAGGUCUUGCAUCUGGGUUUUGGCAACUCUCACUAUCAAUACAAGCUGGGACAUGUAAGGAUGGAGCACAGCUCUGUUGCAAAGGACCUGAGGGUACUGGUGGAUGGCAAGUUGGACAUGAGCCAGCAGUAUGCCCUCACAUCCCAAAAAGCCAACCAUAUCCUGGACUGCAUCAAGAGAAGCGUGGUCAGUAGGUGGAGGAAGGUGAUCCUGCACUGCUGAGACCUCACCUGGAGUACUGUGUCCAGAUGUGGAGUCCUCAGUACAGGAGAGACAUGGACCUGUUGGAAUACAUCCAGAACAGGGCCACAGAAAUGAUCCAAGGGAUGGAACACCUCUCCUAUGAGGACAGGCUGAGAGAGCUGGGGCUGUUCAGCCUGAAGAAGAGAAGGCUCCACAGAGGUCUGAGAGCAAUCUUUCAGUACUGAAAGGGGGAGUGUAAGAAAGAUGGGGACAGACUCUUUAGCAGCGUCUGUUGUGAUAGGACAAGGGGAAAUGGUUACGAAUUAAAAGAGGGGAGAUUUACACUGGAUAUACGGAAAGAAUUUUUUAAUAAGGGUAGUGUGGCACUGGAGCAGGUUGCCCAGAGAGGUGAUGGAUGCCUUGUCCUUGGAGACAUUCAAGGUCAGGCUGAAAGGGGCUCUGAGCAACCUGACCUAGCUUUAGGUGUCCCUAUUCGCUGAAGGGGAGUUGGACUAGACGAUCUUAAAUGGUCCCUUCCAACUCAAACGAUUCUGUGAUUCUAUAUAUAAUAUAAUAUAAUGUAAUGUGUGUGUAUAUAUAUACAUAAGUUGUAUAUACAAUGUACAUAUAAUGCAUACAAUUUUGCUUCUCUCUUCUAGUAGAAGUUCAUCUAAGAAAGAAAAGAAUUAUCCCCUCAGAAAUUUUACUUCAGGCUUAAAAAAUGUUGGAUUCUAGUGCUGUAAAAAUGUGAUUUCCCUCAAAGGAAAGCAUCAUAAUUUUAUUAAGUAGCUGGGGUAAGUUAUUACAAGCCCUUCUGACUAGCUGAAUGUUUUUUUCUUUUUGUCCUAGAUCAUAUUUCCUUCCUCAAAAGUAAUUGGCAGGUGCUCACAAAGAUAUGAAUCCAGCUCACAACAUUCAGAGUGGAAAAUGGCAAUUGAAAUGGAAGAAACUAGCUUUUUUUCUUGGGAUGUUUACUUUUUAUAAAUCUCCUUAUAACUGUAUUAAAAAAUAAUCAGACAUUACACAAGACUAAUGAAUAGCUGUAUUAGCCCAAACUUUUUCCCUUGAACAGCACUCAAAGGUAAAUUUAUGUUUCUGUGAUCCUAGAAAGCCAGAGGCCAGUUUAGUUUCUCUUAUGAGUAAGACUAGCUUGAGGUUAUCCAAAUUUGCACAGCAAAGCCAUUACUCUAGCACUCAAACUGUUUUGCCAAUACUAAUGCUGCUUCUAGUGACCUUUCACUGUUGGUGGUGGUGGUGUAGCCACAGUAGUUUAAAUAUAAAUAUACCCACAGAAUGGCAAUAGUUAUAUAGUUGAACUAACUGGUAGAAUUGGAGGAAAGCAAACGCUUUUAAAUGUUAAUCCAUUAUGGGGCAACUAUUAGCAUCUCUCUGCCACUGAAUGAAGAAAAGCUGGGGGAGGACAGAGAGAGUGAAGCAAAACUGAUAAACAGAAUAAUCUCACUUCGUAGCUUGUACUGUCUUGAAUUUUUGUUGGCUGAGGAGUCCCUCUACCACAGUUACUGGCAAAACUUCAUGGCUAUCUGGAUAUCAAAUGAAGCUGUUAAUCCUGGUCAGAACAUUUAUUUAACUUCUUUGAUAAACAUCAUUAAGAGUGGUUCAGUGAUGCUUCUGAGGACACUGCAGUGAUUCACCCCUGCCCCACUCGAUGUGACACUGUUUACUUAUCAAUUGUGUAAUGUUCUUUCCUUUUGCAUUUACAGAUUCAAUGAAGCUUAAGAAUUGAUCACUUACUUAUUUGUUUAUUUUUCAUAGCUUGUUACUGCCAGUCACAUAAUUAAUCAUUUCUUUUUAAAAUCCGUUAGGCAAGUUUGAUUCUUAGACCCACUAGUGCUGACAGUUGCACAUCCUGACUACAGGGUAUGCAAAGAAGUAGCCUGGAGUACCCUUCCAAAAAUAAAAACAAACAAACAAAAAACCAAACGAAAAAACAGUGAUGGCAAAAGCACCCAUACUUCAAAUGCCAAACUUAGUCGAUUCUGAAUUGAAUUAUAGAAUCGAAAGUACGAGUCUAGAAUCAGUGAACAAGAAUAUCUCUUUUGAUCUAUUUUUCUAGGUUUUUAUUCUUUCUAAAUUUAACUAACUCUAAUCAUGGAUGAAAUGACCAGGAUGGUAUGUGUUUUUGUACUUUAUAUCUUUCCAGGAACCAGCUGGCAUUGUAAUCCAAGUACUAUUUUUUACAAUACCAGGAUCAAUACUGAAAAUGGGAGAAGUAAUAAGCACUUUCCCAUAAAGUCAGAACACCAUCUACCAAAUAAUAAAUAGGCUGAACCAUUGCUGUGUUUUCUGGAAUGCUACUUAUCCACAAGGACCUCUUUAAUUAUUUCUUUGGUUUUAUGGGUCUAUCUACAGUCAUUUACUUUUCCUUCACAGUCUGUUACCCAGGGUAAUUCUAACUUUAAUGAGACUGGGAUGUUUUGCUACAGAAGUAGGGGGACAACUUAGAGGCCCUGCUGAGAGCAUUUUCCUCUUGCUAGCAGUGAAAAUCUCUUCUGCUGAGGCUCCUGAACUCCUAUGUGAAAUAGCUGACAGGACUCUGAGGGCACUGAGAGACCUUGGUGCCUCAUCUGGGCCCCCAUCCACCCACCCUGUCCACAGCCAUGAGCCCCAUUUCACCUAAAUCCUGGACCCCUUGUCUGCAUCACUGCUACACUGUACAUCUGCCUGUUUCCAGUCCUGUCCACUGCCAUUCCUGAGCUGUUGAUUUGAUUUGCUGGAUGGCUGCUAGGCCUGAUUUGUUUCCUAAGGUUUGUCUGGUUCAUUGGACUCUCAGUGGACAUCUCUCCUAUGCUUACCCUGCCCAGAUACUGUGGACCUGUGCACUGAUGGAGACUGCUGCCUUUGCUUAGCUGACCUCAGCUGUGGCUUCACCUCCUUGUGGAGCAGAUUGCCCCUUUCUGCUCCACAGCAGUAGUUUUGAUAAGGAAUGGGGCUUAGUCUGGGGACCUUUUGUUAAUCCAGUGGCUGUUUCCAUCUUGUAAAGCUAAAUUCAACAGGACACAUGGCCUACAGCAUCGUGGGAGAUAUACUUCUAUCCCCAGAGCAGCUGGGCCCCUGGUACACAGUUCAGCCACAUCAUCAAGGCUGAUUUGGACUGGAAUGCCUCCCAAAUCCCACUUCUGUCAUUUCAUUUUAAGAUGAAAGCCUUGCUGAAUUCUAUUCCAAUGGCCUACUAUUCCUGUGAUUUAUCAUUACAGAAAUUAUUUAUCCUAAUCAUUAAAUGCCUCAAAAAAAAAAAAAAAAGCAUAUACAUCAAGUUAGCACCCACAAAUUUCAGUGAUAACUCCCUAUUGUUUCAAGGGAAGCAUAGGCUAAAGUUUUUUAUGCUUUUAAAGACUUCAUCUGCACAAGCAGUCAUGUAAUCUGUUAGUUUAAAUGAUCAAACAGAUGGCAGUGGAAGCAGAGAGGGUUUAAACAGAACUUUCAGAAUAAUCUGCCGUGGGUCUGAACGAGAACUUUUAUUUGGUUGGAAUAAGUGUGAGCGUGAAUGAGUACAUGUAUUUUUUAACCAAACUGUCUAUGUGCCACAAUUUAUGUAGUAUGAGAAACUAAAAAUGAGCUCAGUAUGAAGGCAAAGCUUGGAGUCAUUCUUCAACAGAGCUAUUUUUAAAAGACAAAGAGGCAAAGAUAAUGAAAGGAGCAAACAGACUUUAAGACAGGUGUUUUAUUGCUUUUCUUUGUUGAAAAGCAAGAACAAAGAUGUAAAUUUUGCACAUUGUCCUUUUGCUUCGAUUCUAUUUUUGUGUUUCCACCCUUUCUGUUUAAACACGUCAGCAUCAGUUCCAUCACAGCAUGUCUAGUUUGCUAUUAGCUUAAAUGUACUCCUUUGAGACAAUAAGCUGAAAAGUUCUGUGGAAAAUCAGUGAUCCUAGCCAGAUUGUAUGGGAGAAGAAUUAAUCAUAAAUAAUAAUUAUAAUUUGAGAGUAGCAGCUCUCCUCAAACUAGAGGCUGGGAAUUUUUCAUGAUGCUAAUAUUGUUUCAUUGCUGUUUUGUUUCUUAACUACCUCUGAAAAAAUAGGCAAAUCUUUCUUUCUGUCAGGAAAUUCUCAUCAUAAGCGUAUUGCACAUACGGGCCCACUUCACACAAAGCAUGAGAAUACACAAUUUGCAUUUUAAACUACCUGCUUUAACCAUUUUAUUAUAGACUAUGUCUAUUAAACCUUAAAGUGUUGCUUUUUGGAAAUACAGUAGUAACGUGUAGUAAGAAGAUAUGUAAAACCUUCCAGCAUCUGGCUUAUGAGGGCUAGCUAAUGUUUUAAAUGUUGAUUAAACAUAUAUUUUUAUGACUUCAUUUGGUUUUUAUUAUAUUUUAGAAAAUUAUCAAUAAUGCUGUGGUCAUCUUUAUACAAGUAAAUGCUAUAAGUUUUGUUUUCCUUAUUAUUGUGUUGGUUUUUUUAAAAGUUGUUCCUGAUUUUUUUUAUGAGUUUCAGCAAUUGGCCUAAAGUUUCCGGUCCAAUUUUUCACAUGGAUCUUAUUAAAACAAGAUUGUACUAGA